AUUGAACGCUGGCGGAAUGCUUCACACAUGCAAGUCGAACGGUAGAGGGGGCAACCCCUCGAGAGUGGCGAACGGGUGAGUAAUAUAUCGGAACGUGCCCAGUCGUGGGGGAUAACGUAGCGAAAGUUACGCUAAUACCGCAUACGAUCUAAGGAUGAAAGCGGGGGAUCGCGAGACCUCGCGCGAUUGGAGCGGCCGAUAUCAGAUUAGGUAGUUGGUGGGGUAAAGGCUCACCAAGCCAACGAUCUGUAGCUGGUCUGAGAGGACGACCAGCCACACUGGAACUGAGACACGGUCCAGACUCCUACGGGAGGCAGCAGUGGGGAAUUUUGGACAAUGGACGCAAGUCUGAUCCAGCCAUUCCGCGUGCAGGAUGAAGGCCCUCGGGUUGUAAACUGCUUUUGUACGGAACGAAAAGGUCUCUCUUAAUACGGGGGGCUCAUGACGGUACCGUAAGAAUAAGCACCGGCUAACUACGUGCCAGCAGCCGCGGUAA
rnacentral:rRNA from 1 species